rnacentral:ncRNA from 1 species
CCGUCACAACGGCUUCCUGGCGUGGCGGCAGACUUCUAAUGGAGCG